rnacentral:rRNA from 1 species
UACGGAGGGUGCAAGCGUUGUCCGGAAUCAUUGGGCGUAAAGAGCGUGUAGGCGGCUUGUUAAGUCUUGCGUGAAAUCUCGGGGCUCAACCCCGAGCGGUCGUGAGAAACUGGCAGGCUAGAGUGCGGGAGAGGAGAGUGGAAUUCCUGGUGUAGCGGUGAAAUGCGCAGAUAUCAGGAAGAACACCCGUGGCGAAGGCGGCUCUCUGGAACGCAACUGACGCUGAGACGCGAAAGCGUUGGGGAGCAAACAGG